GUCAGGGAAGCAGGUGGGGGGGGGAGGGGGUAAAUGUAGUUUUCUCUCAGAUUAUACUAUGUUUCUCUAGCUGAAUCGAUCCAUUCAUUAUCUUAUUCACUAGGGGCAAGCAAUUGUGCCCUAUGGUAACAGCCUGAAAGAGUAGACUAUUCUAAGCAUUCUUAGGAUCAUAAUCCUCCUGAUCCUAUACAGUUUAUGGUAAUCAUCCCCAAAAGUUUAUGAAGGGUAAAAUAUACUAAAAUCUACACAUUCAUGAGCUAUGGCCACAGUACCACCUCCCACUAGGAGGAUUGGUGGCCACAGGGACACACUGACCCCUUCAAGAACACCAAAAUACAUGUAAAGAAAGAGAUUGGCAUGUUCAGAUCGUGUACAGUUUAAUCCAUUACAGUUUACCAGUCCAGAGUUCAAAAGAUGACCACAGUUCUCAAGCUUUCAGGCUAAUCUGAAUAUGUGAUAAGUGAUAGAAAUUAACCCCAUUAACCCAUGCCAAUUAGCUACAUGCUAGCAUGGUUCCACCUCCCGUUGGUUGGUGCCACAGUGACUGAAAAGUAGGGUUUUAGAUGUAUGCUGUAAGAAUCCAGGAAUUUCAGUGCUGGACAAAAGUAAUUCCUUAAUGGGGUAUUGACCUUAGGUGGGGAAACAAGUGGCCAGGAUGGCAGGACUAUAUAUAGAAUUGAGGCAAGAUAGUGUGAGGACUAGAGAAAGAAAAGGCAAACGGGACUGGAAGAGGAGACUUGGUGCAUGGUUGUGAGAGUCUGACAGCUUAGAUGUUCCAGAAAAGUUAGCCCAGAGUGAUGUUUCUGUGAAAGGGGAAGUAGAGUAACAUAGGUCUGAUCACAACAUUCCUUCAGUUGAGCCCUUUGACGACUCCCAUUUAUUAGUGCAGGCUCCCCGUGACCUAGCCCAUCCUAAGUCUCCUGCCUGACCCACUGCCUAUCCCUGGCAAUCAAAUUUCUGUGACAGCAAACUGCAUCCCAUUGGCCUACGAGUGCAUGCGUUUUAGUAUAAUGGUUACCUGUCGUACUCGUCUGCCCAACAUCUUAUUUCUUCUCUUUUUGGGUCCUCUUGAUCUUCUCAUGAAGUACCACCCCAGCCCUGCCCACUCUAUAUGGUUCUAAUAGAGCUACAAAUCCUACAAAAGUCUUCUUGCAACCUUUCCCAUGUCUGGUUAAAAUUAUAUUCUGCUUUGUAUGAGUCCCUAUUAACACAGCUCUAUCCUAGCACUGUCUGUACUAUGGCCUGGCAAUGGGUACAGUGAUUAGCUUGGAGAUAGGCCCAUGACUGAAACUAGACUGAGCAGAGACUUUUCCAUGCGAUCUUAUUUGCUGGCCUUGAAAUGCAGAUAACCUUCUAUGGCUAUUAACUACAAUCCAAUGUGAUAUGAACAUGGAGCUCUCUGUGGCCAAACUCCACCCCUUCCUCCUGCAACAUAGAUUAUGUCCAUCUGCUAUGGGAGAGAAGGCAGCAUCCACACAUGAGCAGGGCCAAGAGUUCUGGGAGAGCUGAAGCCAGAUUUCCCAGUUACACUUUCCUUGUAUUUGUGUAAACUAUUUUGAGAUGCGUUUCUGUCCCUUGGAAAUGGAAGAGUUCAAAUUAAUGAUCACUUGACCAAAAAUAACCUCCACAUCCCUAAUGAAAAUUCUCUCUUUGAGGACAACGUCCUGUGAAGCCUUUCCUCAAUCCCCUGGUUGAAAUUAAUUACCGCUUGUGAGCCCCAUGCUGUAGUCUUUUCAGAUUGCUAUUGCAAAAAUAGCAUAACCUGGAUGCCUUAUAAACAUGUCUCACAGUUCUGGAGGCAAAGAAGUCCAAGACCAUGGCACCAGCAAUUCGGUGUCUGCUUCCUCAUUCACAUGAAGAGGAAGGGGUAAGGACUUUCUGGGAUCUCUUUUAUAAGGGCACUAAUCCCAUUUGAGAGGUCUCCACCCUGUCACCUAACCUCUUCCCAAAGGCCCCACCUCUAAACCUAUCACAUUGGGGAUUAGGUCUCAGCAUAUGAAUUUGGGAGAGACACAUGUUCAGUCCAUAGCACCCCCCUAUUAGCAAUGUAUACCUCAAUAGUUGCACUGGUUUCAUUCUUCCUUGACUUGGAGUUUGUUUAUAUAUCUAUUUUCCUCAUUUGUAAGAUCUUUAAAAGUAGAGAGCAUACCUAAAUCAUCAUUGGACCCUCCAUAGGGCAACACAUAAUAGGUUCUUAAAUUUUUUGAAUGAUAUCUAGACUACUAUGUACCAAGCUCAAUUCUAAGAACUAGGAAUAACAGUGAAUUUUAAGAUGUGAACAUUCAUGCUUUCAUGGAAUUUGCAUCCUAGUGGGAAAACUAUCUGAUGAAAAUUCAUGGGAAUUGCUGAAUUGGGAAAAACCUUGAGGAAAGGCAAACGCGACCUGGAACCAUGAGGCUCAGACAAAAGGGACCUUGCUUUUUACCACCACCAAAGAAGGCAAAAUGAGCUCUUAGGGCGUGGCAAAGGAGUGGGAAGUACGUCAGGAUAGAGUUCAAAAUAGAACUUGAGCAUACUUUUGAAAGCUAGUCCAAUUAACCGGCACCAAAUGAAUGUGGCCAGCUAGAUGCAAUUACAAGCACUCCCCAACUUGGGCCCGUGGUAACUCACUGGCAGUUUCCUACGGAGACCAAAAAUUAUUUACUUCUUGCCAUAUACUCUUCCCUAAACAUAACAAUGCAUGUUCACAUCUCUCUACCUUUAUACUUGCCAUCCUUUCACCCUGGAAUGUGUUCUUUUUUCCCAUUUAUGGGACCGUUACCUAUUUUGAAGUCAGUAAUCACUGAAUUCAUGAUUGAGAAAAAACAAAAAUCAAAAAACAGUGCUUUCUCAGUUCCUUCCAGCUGCAGAAUGUUUCUCUCUAUACUAGACAGUAAUUUAUGAUUUACCCUCUCUGCAACUGAAACAUAAUGGAAGGAGAAAAAGAUGGCAUUCGUGAGAAAUGGUAAUCGGGCAAUUAAUUUGUGUGAGAGACUAGAACAUUUUGCUUUAGUGUUUUGUUUAUAAAGAGGGGAGUGUACUCCCAAGUUUCAAAUAAAUAUUAACUUUGGGACUACAACUUUUGGGGGGGAAGGGCUAAGGUUUGUACCCAUAUAUAAGUAUGCCCCAAGGUCAGUCCUUAUACAAAACUUUGCCUCUGAUGGUUGGAGCACAUGCACUAAAGAUGACUUAUGUGGGGAAAGGACAGUGGAGGGGAAGGACAGGUCUGGGAGAGAAGCUGGUCCCACAGGUAGUGACAGUGGAAAGUUACUCAGGCAAUGGGAACAACUGGGGUGUCUUGUCUGGGGGCUGUUGGAGCCAAGUUGGAAAACAAUUGUUUCUGACACAUCAAAGCCUGGGAAUUUUUCUCAACUGGAUCUAUGGUGGUAAACAUUUGCUACCACCACCUGUUUUCAAAGUUUUCCCUGCUCAUUUUUCCCCCUCAACUGUAAAAAAGAUUUGAUAUGUCUACAUACAUAGGUAUGGAAGCCUACAGCUUGCCAAAUUUAUUAAAUCCUCACGAGUGGCUUGUAUAUAAAACCACUGUUAACCUGUACCUAGCACUGUCCUAGGAAUAUUAGAUGUAUUCCUUCAUCCCCUCACAAUACCUCUACGAGGUAAACACUGUUGUCAGGCCUUAUUUUCCAACAAGGAAACCAAGGCACAAAGGUUUAGGUAGCCGGUGCCUGGUCACACAGACACAAGAUGAUGGUGGAGCCAUGUUGUAGGGAUCCUUAAGCCUGUGCCCUGCUGCCUCUCCCGGCCUAAUGUGUGGGAAAGUGUUCCAGAUGGGCCUCAGGACCACACUCCACAUACAUAUCCGUAGGAAGAGGCCUGGGAAUUGUGACUCAGAAUUCUAGCUUACUCCCCUGCCUGUGGUCUCUAUUGCUGGUAAAAGAAAUAACCACAGUGCUUGCAAGUAGAAUAGAAAUGCGCACAUUUCACAAGAAAAAUUGAGCAAGGUGAUCACAUCCUACUUUGCCUCCUUCAGGGCUGUGAGCAGAAAAGGCUGAUGUCUUGACCAAUGGGUUGCUCAGUGAGUAUAAUCUUACCUAUAUUUCUUUCAGUACAUACAACAGCUAAAUAUUCUUGCCUAAGAAUAAAAUCAUCCUGGGAAUGGUCAAUCCACAUACCUUAGGUUUAAGAAGACUGAAAAUAACCUGUAUUAUACUCUGUCAUAAUCAUCCAGGAACCACGUUUUUAAUGGUGUUAAGUCUUUUCCAGAAUUCAGACCCUGAAAUCUUUCAGAAUAUAAGUACAAAUUAAAUAUAAAGACACACACACAGGACAUAUAUCAACAAUCCUACUUGACAGGAUUUAGACUGAACACUUUCUCAGGACCUAGGACCUCCAUAAUGAAUUUGUUCUUCUCCACUUAACUGAGAUUUGUUGAGUCCUGUGACCACAGAAUCUAAUAAUACUUCAUGUAAGUUUCAAGAUCUGGGAGCACAGUCAUGUUUGUAAAAGCGUUCCUCGUAUGACCUGGUUGAGACAAAUUCUAUCAAGGAGAAUCAUAAAAUGUGUAUUAUGUCAUUUCCUCGACUUGUAAAUGCUUUCCUAACUUCAUAUGCCUAAUUUAACAUAACAAUUUCCUUUUGCUGCCCAUUUUGCCUCACCUUUUAUUAAUUUCUCAUGUCUAAAUAGUUAAUAUUUGUAGCCUAAGGUGUGGCCAUUAUAGUGGGAGUAAAAGGCAACUGAUAGAUGACAUCACACCAUCACCAUUCUCUGUUCGGAGAGGUCUAAUCUUGUGAUUUUGGCAACACUCUUCCUGCUUAAAACAAACCAAGGAAUCAUCUAAUUAAACAGCUAUCCCAUUAAUAACUCCUCUUUAUAUUUUCAUUAGCUAGAUUUUACAACCUGUUCUCUGCCUUGAUAAUUAAAUAUUUCAUCAUCCGUAUACCUUUAAGUUCAUUGCUUAAAACUUGCCCCAUGUUUUUGCUUUUAGCCUUUGUCCUACUCUUUGGUAUGUCGCUAAACAAGCUGAGCAUUCAGUAAACUAUGCUUUCUGAUUCUUGCAUAACACUCCAGAGUACAGUAGUCUUUUUGUUUUGGAGGGACAAGCUGAAGAGUGUUCUCGUUUACGUUAUGGCAAAUAAUCUCAGAUGUUAUAUAGGUACAUAUGUACUACUACACAUUUUUAAAAUAUUUUACCUAAGUCAGCUCAUAAUUAUAUGUGGCAUUGAGAAGAAAAUGCUGACUGAAACAAAACGGUGAAAACAAUAAUAGUUUUGGAAAUGUAAUCCAAAAAUACACUCAGAUCUAUGUCAACGCGUGCUUGGGUCCUAAGUAAUUCAGUAACUCACGCAGGCUCUUUGUCAGCUCUCCCCAUGUUAACUGAGCCAGGGUGAUGGUAGGACGUGCCUGGGAUGCUGCAGAUAAUCCACUGUUUAUCAAGUCUUGGCUGACCUUUAGUAAGUGGCCAUUUGUCAAAGGAGGCAUUAAAGAUAGCUCUUAAAUCCAUUUGAUAUUUAUUUAAGAACUUGAAGAUCCUCCAGCUGGAACACCAGUGUGCCCAGGUAUGUAAUGCAAUAUUCAUAAUAGAACAUUCUCUCUCAAGUUCUUUGCCUUCCAUAAUCAAUUCACAAAGUGUCCUUCAUAUUUGCACCCUUGUGCCUGAGCAUCAGUUCAAUAAAGAACUUAUUUACAACUGCGGUACUUCUAAAAAUUGUACUCCACAAAUCCUUGGGCAGACAAAUGCCAUUGAUCCCAAUGUCACAUUCAGGAAGUCACUGAUCCAAGUACCAUAUUCAGCAAAUUCCCAGGCAUGACCAAACUUGCUAGAAAACCAAAAAGGGAAAAUCUGGGAAGUAGGCCAAGAUCCUGGGUGUCAUUGUACAACAUUCAAGCCAACUCUGGUUUCAAAAUUCCUUUGAAAUUGUUACUCCAUGAUAGGAAGGCAUUCUGUGCUUGGCCACAGAUCAUCACACAAGAAAUACAUUUGCAGAAUAGUUGCUGCACAUUGCUGGCUUUUUGCAAUAGGAAAAUUUCAUCCUUGGUAGAAGAGUAUGUUUUGUUUUUGAAUUUGUGUAAAAUCUGCUGGUGAGGCAUUACCAAAUAGUAGAUACAAAACCAGUUUAGGAUUUUUUAUCAUAUGUAAUCUUGGGCUAAUCCUUUAUCUUCUAUCUUCCCUGCUGUUUCCAAAGAUGGUGUGAAGAAUCAAUAAUUGUUAUAAGCAUCAGGAAGACAUGACUGAAAAGAACAAUAAGAAAUGUAAUCUCAAGAGACGAAAUAUGAUUGAAGAAGAAAUCAGUUUUCCUGUCUCAUUGGACAUGAUUGUGUUUAAAGGGGAAUCUUCAUGAUCACAGCAGGAAACUUCCAAAUGGACCGCUCAACCCUAAGACCUAUCUUCGCCUCCUGACUGAAGUUCCAAAGUAAAGAAAGGAUUCUUCAAGCAUUCAGACCAACAAGAUCAAAUUAUCUGCAGGGGACGUACUGACCUCAGAACCCAGUGGCAAAAGACAGAAGCAAUGACUAGCGUGUAACCCAAGAAUAUCUUAACAAAAUAAGUUGCCAUUCUAGUAGAUAGGCUUUCCAAAACAUGAAAAGGAGAGGAAACCCAGCACCCAUGAGCCUCUCUCAAAAAACUACUUAACAAUAAUAGGCUGGCAGUUAAGACAAGAAUUAAAAUAAGAAAAAAAGGAACAGAGAAGCCAUAUAAAAGGCUCUAGGUGAACACCAAAUCCACUUACAUAUAGGCCAGUACAAACUAUUGGACAGUCACUUAUGAGAAUGUUGAGGUCACAAACAUGUCAGUAUAAAAAUAAUGUAAAAGUUAGAAGGGAUGUUUAGAUGGGAGUCUUGUGAAAACAUUAUCUUCAUCUUUUACAGAAAAGGUCAAUCAAUGCUAAAAAAAAAAAAGAAAGAAAGAAAAACAUGACUUUCACAAUUGCUUCUGAAUUUUAUUUAUUUUUUUGAGAGAGAGAAUUCA